UUUCCCAAACGCCGAACCUUUCUUCCCCAACCCCUCGCGACCCGACUUCCCUCUCUUCUCUGUUCUCUCUCGCGGAUGAUCGACGCCGAUGGAGCAAGGCUUUAGCUCCGGCGAUCUUUUCUCUGCCGGCAUCGACCCUUAAGCUCAGAUCCAGCCGAAGCCCUUCUCCUUCUCAGUCCGAUCUCUCUCUUCUCUCACACGGAAGAUCCGACGCACCCGACGCCGACAGAGGGCAACUGCUUUCCGACGAUCUGGGCCUCUUCGCGUCGCCUGAGGAUCGUCGCCGGAUUGUUGAAGGUGCUGACGCUGUCCAAGCUCUUCCGAUGGAGCGAUCCCUUCCUCGGCCGGUUCUUACGCGUGAGCGACUAUGGCUAGGUGGCUAGGGCACAGUGGAGGGCUUGGUUUUGGUUGUUUCCGACCGAUUGACCCUUCGUUUCCUCCUUCUUGAGCUGUUCACAUAACGAUCCGUGGCUCCUCAAAGUGGAUCGGAUUGGGCGAUACCUUCUGGAGACAACCGAUUGAGGGAGGUGUUCUUGAGCUGCCGGGAAGAGGCUAGAAGGAUGGUUAAUUGAUCAGUGAUCUCCCUGCUCGACCUCCUGUUGUGAUCCGAUUGAUUCCAAUGAGGUUGAGUGCUGUGGAUCAACAAGCACAAUUGUGAGAACCCUCCCAAGCUGGCUACUCCUCUAUUUGAUACUAAAAUGGCAGAGGACCCUAAGAUGACAUACAUAGACCUAGAUAAUCUUCAAAUUGUGUUUUGAACGAAGAGUAGUGUUUGGUCUUGCAUUGUGAUGGCGUCUGAGUGUUGGCUUGGUCUCUGUUGGCUUGCUACAUAUCUAGAAAGCUCCAUGAUUUGUGCUAAGCUGAAGCGUAUCCAAUUUGGAUUUUCUAGCUCAAAAUAUCAGUAGAUUUGUUGUGGUAGUGCCUUAACAGGAUUUGAGACUUCUCCAUUCAGGUAAAGACAAGUCCGGUAGAUACAAAAAUUACAAGAUUACAAGUUUGGAUUGAAGGUCACAAGAAAAAAAAUGGGGAGCCUAGUACUCAAGCUGUUGGAGAGAAAAUAGUGGACCUAAUUCGACCAAAUGAUGAAAUGCAGUUUCUCGAUGAUGCAAUAGGAAGAAUGGUCGCAUGGUUAUCUAAAUUUAUAGUAUUGUGUGAUUGAUACAUAUUAUACUAAUUUGUUUGAAUUGUAAGUUGAAUUGUUAUUAUGUAAUUGCUAGUUUGUUAGAGAUUUCAUAUAUUGUUUUAGAUGUUUUGAGUUUUUGUAGUAUAAUGAAAAGCUAUGACUUUUAUUAAUUCUGUAUGGAUUUGAUUUGCACUAAAUUUGUUGUAAAAUUUUAAUUUAUUAUUUUUGUCAA